CGGUGUUGGUUAAAUGCUUGUUGAAUAUGACAGGGAGGGGGGUAGGAGAAUAAAGGGAGGGAGUAGAGAGCAGGAGAAGGGCAGGAGGGUUGGGGGAAGAGACCAGUCGGGAAGAGAGAAGGCACCAUGGAUUUGGGGGGGCAGAUGCAGGGAGUGGGGUGUGAUCUCAAUGCUGUGUCCUCACUCGAUCUUGCUGAACCUGGCUGAGUCAGUUGGAUGUGCUGAGCUGGGGCUCAGCUACUUGGGCUCAUUAGGUAACUCUAGGGCUUAGGGUCCCCAUGUCCUGGGCCUGGUUCCAUUUGCCACUGAUCCUGAAGCUUUGCCCUAAGUGUUCUCUAUGUCUCUCCUAUAAACUGCUGGCUCUGGCUUUGCUCAUCAGCUCUUUUCCCCAAGCACAUCUUAUAUUUUUCUUCUCCCUUCUCUUCGCUCCUGCCAACUUCCCUGCUUGUUUUCUGUGUGCACUCUCCCAUUUUCAAGGAUCUUAUUGCAACUCCUAUUUCUAAGAAUCCUCUACUUCUACCCACUCACCUCCUCCAAAUCCUAUGGCUUUGACUCAUCCUCCACACUAUUUCUUGGCAUUCAAGAUUGGCCAAGGUAUCCCCAGAGAACGGUAAGUGAAUCGGUUACUGAGGACCUUGCUGCAUCUGCCCAUCCCUAAGUCUGAUCCCCAGCCAGAAUUUAGAGUAUAUUUGAGUCUUCCUCACCUUAUCCUGCCAGCUAUGGAAGGCUCUGUGAGGCAGGUUGGGCCCAGAGCUGCACAGGCGACAGAGUGGGCAAGCAGAGGCAGAGCCUGUGGGUGUGGGCACGGGUGAUUUCAGGGGCUUUCCAUCCAGUAACCCUUGCUUCACCUGAGAUGUCACCUGAAAACCUUUGUGACACGGAAGAAGCAGCCAGAACAGAAGCUCAUGCUGUGUCCUGGGGCCUGACUAUGGCCUGAGGAUGCCAACAGGGAAGAAACAGGACAGAAGGGAGCACCAGAGAGAUGCAGGCCUGGAAUGGACCCUCCUGUGACUGCUUCGCCAUGUCCUCACAGCUCCUCACUGAGCAGGCCUGCAGAUGUCACCCAGACCAGGCCAACCCUGGACAGAUGUGGAAACUGGACCUACAGUGGAGGGAGGUGUGUCCUACAGUCUGUGGCAGGUCUCUGGUGGAGUUUGGGGUACAGUUCACAUUCCCUGGUUCUGGGACCUCGAUCUUUCUAUUUACUGUCAGAAAGCCUUUCCUCUUUCAGAAUUUCCAAAAUCUUGCAGUGCUCUUCCCAUCUGUGGUUCCUCUGUGGGACGAGAGGUUAGUAGAAUGUCAGCCUUGCUACUCUUCCUCUAUAGGCUCGAAAUAAGCCACCAGAGCCUCCUCCUUCC
rnacentral:lncRNA from 1 species